rnacentral:rRNA from 1 species
AAUCUUCCGCAAUGGGCGAAAGCCUGACGGAGCAACGCCGCGUGAGUGAUGAAGGUCUUCGGAUCGUAAAACUCUGUUAUUAGGGAAGAACAAACGUGUAAGUAACUGUGCACGUCUUGACGGUACCUAAUCAGAAAGCCACGGCUAACUACGUGCCAGCAGCCGCGGUAAUACGUAGGUGGCAAGCGUUAUCCGGAAUUAUUGGGCGUAAAGCGCGCGUAGGCGGUUUUUUAAGUCUGAUGUGAAAGCCCACGGCUCAACCGUGGAGGGUCAUUGGAAACUGGAAAACUUGAGUGCAGAAGAGGAAAGUGGAAUUCCAUGUGUAGCGGUGAAAUGCGCAGAGAUAUGGAGGAACACCAGUGGCGAAGGCGACUUUCUGGUCUGUAACUGACGCUGAUGUGCGAAAGCGUGGGGAUCAAACAGGAUUAGAUACCCUGGUAGUCCACGCCGUAAACGAUGAGUGCUAAGUGUUUAGGGGGGUUUCCGCCCCUUAGUGCUGCAGCUAACGCAUUAAGCACUCCGCCCGGGGAGUACGACCGCAAGGUUGAAACUCAAAGGAAUUGACGGGGACCCGCACAAGCGGUGGAACAUGGUGGUUUAAUUCGAAGCAACGCGAAGAACCUUACCAAAUCUUGACAUCCUUUGACCCUUCUAGAGAUAGAAGUUUCCCCUUCGGGGGACAAAGUGACAGGUGGUGGCAGGGUUGUCGUCAGCUCGUGUCGUGAAAUGUUGGGUUAAGUCCCGCAACGAGCGCAACCCUUAAGCUUAGUUGCCAUCAUUAAGUUGGGCACUCUAAGUUGACUGCCGGUGACAA